rnacentral:rRNA from 1 species
GUAGGGGGCGAGCGUUGUCCGGAAUGACUGGGCGUAAAGGGCGCGUAGGUGGUCAGGUAAGUUUGGAGUGAAAGUCCUAUUUUCAAGGUAGGAACUGCUUUGAAAACUGCCUGACUGGAGUGAUGGAGAGGAUAGCGGAAUUCCCGGUGUAGCGGUGAAAUGCGUAGAGAUCGGGAGGAACACCAGUGGCGAAGGCGGCUAUCUGGACAUAGACUGACACUGAGGCGCGAAAGCGUGGGUAGCAAACAGGAUUAGAUACCCUGGUAGUCCACGCGGUAAACGAUGGAUGCUAGGUGUAGGAGGUAUCGACCCCUUCUGUGCCGGAGUCAACACAAUAAGCAUCCCGCCUGGGGAGUACGGCCGCAAGGUUGAAACUCAA